rfam:Ictidomys tridecemlineatus contig031589, whole genome shotgun sequence.
GGGGGUAUAGCUCAGUGGUAGAGCACUCACCUAGUAUGCAUGUGACCCUGGGUUUCAUCCCCAGGAUCCCCC